GAUGAACGCUGGCGGCGUGCCUAAUACAUGCAAGUCGAGCGAACAGACGAGGAGCUUGCUCCUCUGACGUUAGCGGCGGACGGGUGAGUAACACGUGGAUAACCUACCGAUAAGACUGGGAUAACUUCGGGAAACCGGAGCUAAUACCGGAUAAUAUAUUGAACCGCAUGGUUCAAUAGUGAAAGACGGUUUUGCUGUCACUUAUAGAUGGAUCCGCGCCGCAUUAGCUAGUUGGUAAGGUAACGGCUUACCAAGGCAACGAUGCGUAGCCGACCUGAGAGGAUGAUCAGCCACACUGGAACUGAGACACGGUCCAGACUCCUACGGGAGGCAGCAGUAGGGAAUCUUCCGCAAUGGGCGAAAGCUUGACGGAGCAACGCCGCGUGAGUGAUGAAGGUCUUCGGAUCGUAAAACUCUGUUAUUAGGGAAGAACAAAUGUGUAAGUAACUAUGCACGUCUUGACGGUACCUAAUCAGAAAGCCACGGCUAACUACGUG
rnacentral:rRNA from 1 species